GGACAAGCUCAAUGGUGGAACAGCUGCUUUGAAUGCAGAAGGUCCCUGGUUCAAUCCCUGGCAUCUCCA